rnacentral:rRNA from 1 species
GUUGUAUGGUUAAGUGAUUAAGCGUAGACGGUGGAUGCCUUGGCAGUCAGAGGCGAUGAAGGACGUACUAACCUGCGAAAAGCGAUGGUGAGCUGGUAAGAAGCAUUUGAGCCAUCGAUGUCCGAAUGGGGAAACCCACCUGCAUAAGCAGGUAUCUUAGCGUGAAUCCAUAGCGCUAAGAGGCGAACUCGGGGAACUGAAACAUCUAAGUACCCGAAGGAAAAGAAAUCAAUUGAGAUUCCGGCAGUAGCGGCGAGCGACCCCGGAGCAGCCCUUAAGCGGYUUAGGCGUUAGGUGAACAGGUUGGAAAACCUGGCAAUAAAGGGUGAUAGCCCCGUAACCGACGGCGCCUUAGGCGUGAAAACGAGUARGACGRGACACGUGAUAUCUUGUCUGAAKAUGGGGGGACCAUCCUCCAAGGCUAAAUACUCCUGACUGACCGAUAGUGAACCAGUACCGUGAGGGAAAGGCGAAAAGAACCCCUGUGAGGGGAGUGAAAUAGAACCUGAAACCGUCUACGUACAAGCAGUGGGAGCCUCYUUURUGGGGUGACCGCGUACCUUUUGUAUAAUGGGUCAGCGACUUAAUGUAAGUAGCYAGGUUAACCGCAUAGGGGAGCCGUAGGGAAACCGAGUCUUAACUGGGCGACAGUUGCUUGCAUUAGACCCGAAACCGAGUGAUCUAGCCAUGGGCAGGUUGAAGGUUGAGUAACAUCAACUGGAGGACCGAACUCACUAACGUUGAAAAGUUAGGAGAUGACCUGUGGCUAGGGGUGAAAGGCCAAUCAAACUCGGAG